GCGCUACACUGAUGCAUUCAACAAGCCUAUCCUUGACCGAAGGGUCUGGGUAAUCUUUGAAACUGCAUCGUGAUGGGGAUAGAUUAUUGCAAUUAUUAGUCUUCAACGAGGAAUGCCUAGUAAGCGCAAGUCAUCAGCUUGCGUUGAUUACGUCCCUGCCCUUUGUACACACCGCCCGUCGCUCCUACCGAUUGGGUGUGCUGGUGAAGUGUUCGGAUUGGCAGCUUAGGGUGGCAACACCUCAGGUCUGCCGAGAAGUUCAUUAAACCCUCCCACCUAGAGGAAGGAGAAGUCGUAACAAGGUUUCCGUAGGUGAACCUGCGGAAGGAUCAUUGAAUUAUUAAAACCACAAUGCGAACCUAUCUGUUCCGUGCCUUAGCUGCCAGCAAGGCAAUUGGCUUGCCCAAUUGUACUUGCAAGCUGGUGCGAGUAAUUUGAUUACUUGCAUCAGUGGCGCUUUGGCAUGCUUAUACACCAGUGCUAACCACUGUCAAAACCAAACUCUGAAGCUUUGAUUGCUAUUAACUGGCAAUCUUAACCAAAGACAACUCUCAACAACGGAUAUCUUGGCUCUCGCAACGAUGAAGAACGCAGCGAAAUGCGAUACGUAGUGUGAAUUGCAGAAUUCCGUGAACCAUCGAAUCUUUGAACGCAUAUUGCGCUCGAGCCCUCGGGCAAGAGCAUGUCUGCCUCAGCGUCGGUUUAUACCCUCACCCCUCUCUCCUUUUGGAGGGCUGGUCAGCUUCUAGUUGGCCUCAGGGAUGGAUCUGGCUUUCCCAAUUGGUUCACUCCGAUUGGGUUGGCUGAAGCUUAGAGGCUUAAGCAAGGACCCGAUAUGGGCUUCAACUGGAUAGGUAGCACCGGCUUCUGCCGACUACACGAAGUUGUGGCUUGUGGACUUUGCUAGAGGCCAAGCAGGAAACAUGCUUUGCAUGUCUUAAACUUUCGACCUGAGCUCAGGCAAGGCUACCCGCUGAACUUAAGCAUAUCAAUAAGCGGAGGAAAAGAAACUAACUAGGAUGCGCUUAGUAACGGCGAGCGAACCGCGCAAAGCCCAACUUGAAAAUCUCCCUUGGAGAAUUGUAGUCUAUAGAAGUACCCUCUGUAACGGGCGCAGCUCAAGUCUCCUGGAAAGGGGCGUCAGAGAGGGUGAGAACCCCGUAAGCUGUUGCUUUGUUGCCUCACGAGGUGCUUUCAAAGAGUCGGGUUGCUUGGGAAUGCAGCCCAAAUUUGGUGGUA
rnacentral:rRNA from 1 species